AAUCGCUGUUCGUAUAAAUUUCAUCAAGCUUGCAAUUAUAUAUACAAUUACAUCCGCCUCCAGCAUACAAGCUAUCCAGAAAUCAAACUGCUAUCAUGAUCAAGGUCACAAGGCUACCUGUGGAUAUGAAAGUACUAGGUAUAUGGUAAUAUUUGGAUUAAUCCAAGUUAUAGUGUCUCAAAUUCCUGAUUUUCCGAAUAUGAAGUGGCUCUCCGUAGUUGCUGCUGUCAUGUCCUUCACAUAUUCAAUUAUCGGAUCAGCACUUGGCUUAGCCAAAGUAAUAGAAAAUGGAGAAAUCAAAGGAAGCAUUACAGGACUGCCAAGUUCUACAGCUGCUGAGA
rnacentral:misc_RNA from 1 species